AUGAAGCGGUCGAUGAGGCCCAUCCUCAUCAGCGCCCACGACACGAUGCCGAACUGGGAAUCAUAGAUCCACCAGAAGGCGAUCGCCGAGAGCACCGUCG
rnacentral:misc_RNA from 1 species